rnacentral:snRNA from 10 species
GGACACAUGGACAGUCUGGCUGUGACUUCUGUUCUGCCAUCAACAGCCAGGGUACAGCAGCCUGGUCUGACUUGCUAGGCAGGUGUCCUUCUUCCACAGCUUCUCCAGGAUUCUCCCAAACCUAUAUCAUUGGGUGGGGUGGAUGGCCUUUCUAGGAAGAGGAAAGCCCUCUUGCCUUCACAAGUCUACAUUAGCUGCAUUUCUCUGUUAGAUCCUUUGAUCAAACUCACUCCAGAUAUUGAAAGUCUUUAUGUACAAAAUCCUGGUCUAUGGGUCUAUGACCCUUUAA